GUGCUGUGCUUGCUAAAUGCUUACAUGUUUCAUGAGGAGAUUAGAAAAAUUCAUAGAAUAGCAAGUGACUGUGGAUUAUUAAAUACUGACAAGCCACUUCUGCUUAGAGGAAACUCCUAAACCACACAUUAUUCAAGGCUAACAUAGUACUCAGUAGAAGUGUCCUUGACUUCUUUUUACACUUAACUCUAGCCAUUCAUUUUGGUUAUCUUUGGAGAAAAGAUGUCAUUCUUGUUGCAGUGAGUAUGGCUGCUGUCCUGAGUGAAAAAUUUUCAUCAGUAAAAGCUACUCACUUUGCUGUUUGUGUAUGCCUGCACUGCACAAAUACGUAUGUGAAAUGAAGCAAAUUCAAAAUUUUGGUGAAAUCAGGUGAAGCAAAGUUUUGACCAACCUACAGCAUCAACUACUGGCAAGACUCUAUGAUACAAUCCUCUUGAUUGAAGCCUACAUGAGUUCAAAACUGACAAAAAGGAUAAUCUAUUUCAAAUACAUUCCAAGCAGCAAAAAAUCAAAAAUG